UUUAUUGCUGAAAGAUGGCCUCGCGUCUGAUUAGCUGGUUGGUGAGGUAACGGCCCACCAAGGCGACGAUCAGUAGCCGGUCUGAGAGGAUGAACGGCCACAUUGGGACUGAGAUACGGCCCAGACUCCUACGGGAGGCAGCAGUGGGGAAUAUUGGGCAAUGGGGGAAACCCUGACCCAGCAACGCCGCGUGAAGGAAGAAGGCCUUCGGGUUGUAAACUUCUUUUACCAGGGACGAAAAAGAUGACGGUACCUGGAGAAAAAGCAACGGCUAACUACGUGCCAGCAGCCGCGGUAAUACGUAGGUUGCAAGCGUUGUCCGGAUUUACUGGGUGUAAAGGGCGUGUAGGCGGAGAUGCAAGUUGGGAGUGAAAUCCAUGGGCUCAACCCAUGAACUGCUCUCAAAACUGUAUCCCUUGAGUAUCGGAGAGGCAAGCGGAAUUCCUAGUGUAGCGGUGAAAUGCGUAGAUAUUAGGAGGAACACCAGUGGCGAAGGCGGCUUGCUGGACGACAACUGACGCUGAGGCGCGAAAGCGUGGGGAGCAAACAGGAUUAGAUACCCUGGUAGUCCACGCUGUAAACGAUGAAUACUAGGUGUGGGAGGACUGACCCCUUCCGUGCCGCAGUUAACACAAUAAGUAUUCCACCUGGGGAGUACGACCGCAAGGUUGAAACUCAAAGGAAUUGACGGGGGCCCGCACAAGCAGUGGAUUUAUGUGGUUUAAUUCGACGCAACGCGAAGAACCUUACCAGGACUUGACAUCCAACUAACGAAGUAGAGAUACAUUAGGUGCCCUUCGGGGAAAGUUGAAACAGGUGGUGCAUGGUUGUCGUCAGCUC
rnacentral:rRNA from 1 species